rnacentral:ncRNA from 1 species
UUGGUUCUGGAGAAUCUCCGAAAAGGAGUGCCGAAGGUGCAAGGCGAAAGCCGAAACUCUCAGGCAAAAGGACAGAGCA